AAUUUUAAGGGAUUAAUGUGAAGUUUGUUUGGAUUAAAUUUGAUUGAUAAUGUGAUUGACAAUUUACAUUAAGAAUUUAAAGUAAAAUUAAUUAUUU
rnacentral:sRNA from 1 species